rnacentral:lncRNA from 1 species
GGGUGACACUGCCGGGUGCAGGGCACGGCUGUGGGCUCUGCCCUCCACCUCCAUUUUCUCCCGUUGCCACCGAAGUGACCAUUUUCCGCCUUGGUUCCAAGCCGUGAGCGCAGCGCUGCUCUCACCCCCAGCUGGACACAGGGAAGAGGAGGAAUGCAACCAGGCAGCACUUGGUGCCCUAGAAUGAAGACAGCAGAUCCGCUGCAAUUCACAGAGCUGACCUCACAGAAACCAAAUGGUGAUGCUGAGGAUGCACACGCAUGGCAUACAUGCCCAAGGGAAGCUGUUUCCUCAAGGGUUGUUCUGCAGCCAAGGCUCCCAUUCUCCCGGCAGGGAAAGGAGAGAAAAAACCCGGGGAACAAAAGCUGCAGGCGCAGCACUGGAUGGAAGGGUGCCACGUUCCAGGCUGUGACCCAGACACGUCCAUCAGCAGCAGAACCGGGACAUGGCAUGGACAGCCCCUGGUCCCACCUCUCCCAUGAUCACACCCAGAGCCCUUUUCCUGCAGCCCCAGCCCUACACGUGGGCACACUCCUCUC